rnacentral:rRNA from 1 species
ACUCAAAGGAAUUGACGGGGGCCCGCACAAGCGGUGGAGCAUGUGGUUUAAUUCGACGCAACGCGAAGAACCUUACCUGGACUCGAAAUCUAGUUGACAGUCUCAGAGAUGAGAUCUUCCCGCAAGGGACGGCUGGAUAGGUGCUGCAUGGCUGUCGUCAGCUCGUGUCGUGAGAUGUUGGGUUAAGUCCCGCAACGAGCGCAACCCUCACCCUUAGUUGCUCGCCCGCAAGGGAAGCACCCUAAGGGAACCGCCUCGGAUAACGGGGAGGAAGGUGGGGAUGACGUCAAGUCCUCAUGGCCUUUAUGCCCAGGGCAACACACGUGCUACAAUGGGCGGUACAAAGCGUCGCCAACCCGCGAGGGGGAGCCAAUCGCAAAAAACCGCUCUCAGUUCGGAUUGCAGUCUGCAACUCGACUGCAUGAAGCUGGAAUCGCUAGUAAUCGCGUAUCAGAACGACGCGGUGAAUACGUUCCCGGGCCUUGCACACACCGCCCGU